rnacentral:rRNA from 1 species
UACGUAGGCAGCGAGCGUUGUUCGGAGUUACUGGGCGUAAAGGGUGUGUAGGCGGUUGUUUUAAGUUUGGUGUGAAAUCUCCCGGCUCAACUGGGAGGGUGCGCCGAAUACUGAAUGACUUCGAGUACGGGAGAGGUGAGUGGAAUUCCUGGUGUAGCGGUGAAAUGCGUAGAGAUCAUGAGGAAGACCAGUGGCGAAGGCGGGUCUCUGGACAGUUCCUGACACUGAGACACGAAGGCCAGGGGAGCAAACGGG